rnacentral:tRNA from 1 species
GCGAGGGUGGCGGAAUGGCAGACGCACCAGACUUAGGAUCUGGCGUCUUUGACGUGAGGGUUCAAGUCCCUCUUCUCGCACCA